UACGUAGGUGGCAAGCGUUGUCCGGAAUUAUUGGGCGUAAAGCGCGCGCAGACGGUCCUUUAAGUCUGAUGUGAAAGCCCACGGCUCAACCGUGGAGGGUCAUUGGAAACUGGAGGACUUGAGUACAGAAGAGGAAAGUGGAAUUCCACGUGUAGCGGUGAAAUGCGUAGAGAUGUGGAGGAACACCGGUGGCGAAGGCGACUUUCUGGUCUGUAACUGACGUUGAGGCGCGAAAGCGUGGGGAGCAAACAGG
rnacentral:rRNA from 1 species